AUGACCUAGAGCCUGGUUCAAUUGAAGAUAAAGAUUUUGGGCCAGUUCUGAUUGUGAUCGAUUAGUGAUUUAUGGCCAAAGCACACGGUACAUAGUUACCUUAAAAGCCCUUGCAUUUGCUCCAAUUGAAGAAAUUGGGUGGUUCAGAAACUGAACUCAGAGAAUGAGACUAAUAAGAAGAGAGAAGGGAUGUUUCUUGGGGUGGUUGCCCUAGAAUGGUCUCACACACCGCUAUGAGUUGAGAUGAUUGCCUGUUGAAUCGUCCGACAAAAAUGUUUUGGAACAAAUAUGUCAGUCCUUGAGUGAUCCAUCGUGCUCUUCUGUCUCAUCCAAAGAGCAAUUGUACAACUGCAGCUAAGGCACAUGCUGUCAAGAAAAAUUUCUUAAUUUGGAGUUAGCUUUAGUUCUCCCUUUCUCUUUUAUUUUCGUUAGAAAUGAAUGCCUAUUGCCUAACUCAGUUUGUUUUGCAGGCAUCUGUUCAUUCUGGUGAUGACAACUAUAAACGUUCUUCCCCAACAGGGUGGACUGGUAAUGGAACCCAUGAUGCCUCUAGAGGUGUUGCGGUCUAAACUCAAGGAUGAAAGAGGGAGCUUGUGAAAGUUCUCGUAUGCUUUUUGAUUCAGAUAUGCAGUAGAAUUUAGCAUAGAGAAGACAAAAGGAAAAGCAAGCAAAGCGUAUAUGUGAUUUUGAUGAAGUCAGGAGAUGUGAGGUAAAGGUGAAAUAAGAAGGAAUGGAAAAAGAAACUCAAAAUGCGAAGUAUAAGGAGUUCCCGAAAGGAGGUAAAAAAUUGUGACACGGCAGAUAGCUAACGUACCUUGGACUUAGGAGAAGUAACAUAUAUUGUCCUUCAAAACUAAUAUUAGAUUCCUUUAUUAUUGGAUGUGCCUAAGUU